ensembl:lncRNA
UUAUUCACAGCUGGUCACGAAUAAGACGUUUCCCAAUGCGAUGAGCAGCGCAGCAUCGACUGAAGCUUUCGAAAGGGAACAGUGUAUUGUGAUAUGUGAAAUGUCAUUAAAAUAUUUGAACGAGCAAACUGCAGACAUCUGUGGUAUGUUAACAAGAGCAGAAAAGGCAGAAAAUAAACUGAAACCAUAUGAAAGACUUACGUAGUAUUGAGCAUUUGCAAUAGUCUGAGAAAAAUGCUGCUGUGUGUUUCUCUCAGCUAAGUUAAAACUGAGAAUAAAAUGAAAACAGUUAUUUGAGCUUGUAUAUAAAACCAGCAAUUCAUCAUUUUGUAUUGUUAUUUUUGGGUAGAAUAGCAUAGUUAUGAUUAGAUCUAAGUAUUAUCUUAAAAAAACACUGAAUGUUUUCAUUUUCUGUUUGCAUAGUAGUCCACUUUCGGUCACCUCUAUUAUCAUGCUUGUCAUCAGUUUCUGUCAGCUGUGAAUGCAAAUCAACUAGCUAGUGCAAUGCUAGCAAUUAUGCUAGCACUGUUCCCAAACCUAGAAUUUACCAGCUUCCGUAAAAGGAAAUGUCAUAAGUGGCCUGUUUAGAAAGCUGCGCACAGGCAGAAACUUCACAUGCCUACCAUUUGAUUUUAGCAAGCAAGCUAAGCAAACGAGAUACUAAGAUAAAUGUAACCACUUUCAGUAUUUUUUUUUUUAAUAAAUAUAGUAUUCAGUACAUUUUUUAUUAUUGAAUGAAUCAUUUAAAAUAAGCUUUUUUUUUUUUUUUUAACUGGUGUUUGAAUCUCUUUAUUCAGUAUUUAAUAUUAAAUGAUAUUUUAAUGCAGGUUUGCACAAUUUUGCAGCUUCAUUAUGGUUUUUAAUCCAUUCGAAUGGACAGGUUCAGUUCUAUUCAGUGUUGUGGUCAAUGCAUUAGUGUCUUCAUGCUUUUCAAAUUAAAUUAAGAUGUUUAAGAUUUAAUGUCAUUCUUUUAUUGCAGAAGCAAAACCAUGGAUGUUGUAAAUGCUGUGAAAAUGAUCGUACUGGUUUGGACUUUCGCAUCUGUCUGUGAGGCCAGUGAUGAUUCAUGUACCUUCAGUUCAAGCUGUGCUGAUGUGACUGGUACUGUGCAUGAAGAACUAACUCUCACUUGCAGCAUCUCACUGAACUGCACUAAAGAAGCUGAUAAAUGCUGCAUUAUAUCGUACAUGUUUAAGGAUGAAAACACCACAGUAAUCUACAAAAAGGAGUUUCCUAACAAGACCUCUCCUAACAAGACCUGUGAACAAAAGAUCAAAGCCACAUAUGUUUACAAAUCAAGUAAAAACAUCACAGCAAAAUUUACAUUAUUUUCCCAAACAAAUUGUGAGACAAAGGAAACAGAAUUCAUCGUUAACGUAACAGAGUCUGGAGAUAAACCCACCAAUACAGAUACUGUUAAGAAAGGUGAAGCAAAGCUGACAACAUCUGAGGUCACUGUCAUUGUGUUCGCCAUAAUUGUCUUCAUCAUCAUAAUGUUAAUCAUUUAUAGGAAAUACAAUCCCACAAUCCCUUGUCGACACCAGAGAGACUAUAAAACAGCUGAUUCUGCCACAAAAGAUGAUGACAACGGUGAAUAGUCAGAAUGAGCUUCUCAGCCGCACAGCUGGACUGUGUAGCAGUUGUGUUUCACAUCCAGUGCAGGUCAUGAGCCUUUAAACAUGUUUAUAAAAGUGUGUACAGAGGAAUCAUAACUGUCUGUGUUAUUUGGUCUACUCAGUGCACUCUUAUCCUAAGCUGUAUGUUCUGUUUUAUAUUGAUUUCUGUGAAAUAACAGAAUGCUGUCGAUCUGUUUGAUCAGAUUACUGUAUACAGUAAUUAUGUUGAAUGUUCUCAAGUCCUUACACUCUCAGAAAAAAAAAGGUACAAAAUCUGUCACUGGGACGGUACCAGUGUUGGGAAGGUUACUUUGGCAAUGUAACAGGUUACAGAUUACAAGUUACCCUAUUUAAUAAGUAGUGUAACUAUUUCAGUUACUUUAUUGGAGUUACUGAUUACAUUUGAUUACUUUUUGAUAACUUUUCUAAAUCUCUAAUGAAUGUUUUUAACUGGUAAUCAUUUUCAAACAUGUAAAUCAGGCAGGGUUAACCUCACACUAGAAAUCCCUGAUCACUUGAAUUAAGAUUAUAAUAAUGUUUUGGAAAAAAAUUUAAUCUUAAAAAAUAAAGCACAUACAUAAAACCAAAUUGGUGUCUCAUAUUUUAGAGCAGUCAAUGCAAUUUGGGAAAGAAAUCAGUCAAAUCUCUGUCUGUGUGUGUGUGUGUGUCUGUGUGUGUGUGUGUGUGUGUGUGUGUGUGUGUGUGUGUGUGUGUGUGUGUGUGUGUGUGUGUGUGUGUGUGUGUGUGUGUGUGUGUGUGUGUGUGUGAUUGUGUGUGAAAAUAUUCAGAUGUAACCCCCUUUGUAAUCGUUAACAUUUUCAUAAGUAAAUGUAAUCAGUAAGAUUACAGUUACAUUUAUUUUGUAAUUAAAUUACAUAAUUCUGUUACAUGUAACUAGUAACUCCCCAACCCUGGACGAUACCUUAUCAAAAGGUACACCUUUGUACCUUAUUUACCCCUAAACAGUGCAUAUUAGUACCUUAAAGUUACAAAUGAAUACCUUAAGUGUACAUAUUAGUACUUUUUAAAAAGGAACUGCACCAGUGUCAGCUUUUGUACCGUUUCUCUGAGUGUAUAAUCAAGCUCCUAUAUUGACAGGCCUCAGGAAUUUUCUUGGUUUGUUGGGUGUUGUUGUGUUUUUUUUUUUCUUUUUUUUUUCUGUAUCUUCAAACCCUACACAUGAUGUUACUCUUUCUCUGUUGAGUUUUUUAAAAAUACAAAUUAUUAAAGACUUUUGAUGCUCUGUAAUGAUCAAUGUUUGACUGCUUUUUAUUAUCUGGUUUGAUUGUUUUGUAUACCAUAUUAUCACAUUGAAUUAAAGUGAGAUUCUAGUUCGUUUGCUGGAUCCCAUAAUUAAAAUAUGCAGUGUUUUCUGCCAACUGGCAACCUGGGGUGUUAUAUAAAUAUAAAUACUAUUAGGCAAACUGGCAGAAAGCAGAGGCACACAGAUCAAAACAGAAACAGA